CGGGAAUUUUGGGCAAUGGGCGAAAGCCUGACCCAGCAACGCCGCGUGAGGGAUGAAGUAUUUCGGUAUGUAAACCUCGAAAGAACGGGAAGAAUAAAUGACGGUACCAUUUAUAAGCUCCGGCUAACUACGUGCCAGCAGCCGCGGUAAUACGUAGGGAGCAAGCGUUGUUCGGAUUUACUGGGCGUAAAGGGCGCGUAGGCGGCGCGGUAAGUCACUUGUGAAAUCUCUGAGCUUAACUCAGAACGGCCAAGUGAUACUGCUGUGCUAGAGUGCGGAAGAGGCAACCGGAAUUCUUGGUGUAGCGGUGAAAUGCGUAGAUAUCAAGAGGAACACCUGAGGCGAAGGCGGGUUGCUGGGCCGACACUGACGCUGAUGCGCGAAAGCCAGGGGAGCAAACG
rnacentral:rRNA from 1 species